rnacentral:lncRNA from 1 species
AAAAAUUCAUUUUGCAAAGGCUGAGGCGAUUCUCUCUCUCUGCCUGUCGUUCCUGAGCAGCCGAGUUUCAAUGGCCGAACUGUUUCUCGGGCGAUACAUCCACGUUUGGGGACUGAGGGUUGAAGGAAAGACCGCUCUCACCCCGCCUCGAGGAAACGGCUUGGCUAGACCAUGAAUUCAGACUCUGGGGGACAAGAAGGCAAGUUGUGCCAGCUGCUUUUCCCUCACAGCUGGAGCAUGGGGAGCAGGCAGAAAAGCAAAUCACACCCAGUAUGAACAAGCCAGGAGCAGGACCGCCCCACGCUUCCCAGAGUGCAGUCGGUUCCUCGUACCCGCUCUCCUUGCCCAGGGAUUAUGGCCAAGCCACAGCGCCGCGCUCCAGAUUGGUGUCAGCAGCCUUGUAAGGUCCGUUGAUAAAGCAUCUGAAAAUCAAAUUGGACUCCUAAGUAUUGAAAGGAGCAGGCCUAAAACAAACCUGACCUUUGAGGUGAACUUUUGA